rnacentral:rRNA from 1 species
UACGGGAGGCAGCAGUGGGGAAUAUUGGACAAUGGGCGCAAGCCUGAUCCAGCCAUGCCGCGUGAGUGAUGAAGGCCCUAGGGUUGUAAAGCUCUUUCACCGGUGAAGAUAAUGACGGUAACCGGAGAAGAAGCCCCGGCUAACUUCGUGCCAGCAGCCGCGGUAAUACGAAGGGGGCUAGCGUUGUUCGGAUUUACUGGGCGUAAAGCGCACGUAGGCGGACUUUUAAGUCAGGGGUGAAAUCCCGGGGCUCAACCUGGGAACUGCAUUUGUGACUGCAUGGCUAGAGUACGGUAGAGGGGGAUGGAAUUCCGCGUGUAGCAGUGAAAUGCGUAGAUAUGCGGAGGAACACCAGUGGCGAAGGCGGCUCACUGGACCAUUACUGACGCUGAGGUGCGAAAGCGUGGGGAGUAAACAGGAUUAGAUACCCUGGUAGUCCACGCCGUAAACGAUGAAUGUUAGCCGUUGGGGAGUUUACUCUUCGGUGGCGCAGCUAACGCAUUAAACAUUCCGCCUGGGGAGUACGGUCGCAAGA